rnacentral:rRNA from 1 species
AAAUUGAAUAUUAAAUAAUUAUUUUUAAAAUUAAAAUUUUUAAAAUUUUAUUUAUUUUAUUGGGGUGAUGAAAAAAUUAAUAAAACUUUUUUUAAAAUUAUUACAUAUAUAAGUGAUUAGUUGAUCCAUAUUUAGUGAUUAUAA